GACAGUGGUAUCUAGGAUACUAUGGGAGUUCUGUUUCCUCUGUCUAGUCACGUUUUAUUUCAAACAAGGUAUGCCUCAUGCAGAGAACAAAAUAAGGAUGGAUACAGUGGCAAGAUGUGAAAGAUAGCAGAGGUAGCUGGGUGCAGCACCAUGCUUGGGAUUCAGCGUGCUGGGCAGUGACUUCUCGUGGGCAGCAGCAGGAGUGGUGCAGGGCUGUGGUCAGAAUACUCAGACUCACUGCUCUCCUUCACAGAUCAUGCUCAGCCCAAGAAAAUGAUAAAAACCAGGGCAGUGCAAGGACAGCUGGUGAUGGAAAAUACAGGAGGCGACUCCUUGUUUCCCCAGGGACAUCUCCAUGCUUUCCCCGUGGCACUCCAUUGCACCGUUGUUGUCUUUUGUUGCACGUAAGGACCAUUGUAGUCCUUGGGGGAGCUGCAGAAGACAGCUGUAGAGGAUGGAAUAGCUGAGCCUCGCACACGGCCCUGCCUGUGCCUUUCCUUCUGAUUUGUCCCAGCAGUAGCAAUGAGACAGCAAAAAGAGAAACAAACAAGAAGACAAAGAACAAAGCACAGCCUGGCACGAGGAAGUUAAAUUCAAGAAUAAAGGCACUAAGCAUCUCACAGGAUAAA